rnacentral:rRNA from 1 species
GAUGAACGCUGGCGGCGUGCCUAAUACAUGCAAGUCGAGCGAACGGACGAGAAGCUUGCUUCUCUGAUGUUAGCGGCGGACGGGUGAGUAACACGUGGAUAACCUACCUAUAAGACUGGGAUAACUUCGGGAAACCGUAGCUAAUACCGGAUAAUAUUUUGAACCGCAUGGUUCAAAAGUGAAAGACGGUCUUGCUGUCACUUAUAGAUGGAUCCGCGCUGCAUUAGCUAGUUGGUAAGGUAACGGCUUACCAAGGCAACGAUGCGUAGCCGACCUGAGAGGGUGAUCGGCCACACUGGAACUGGGCCACGGUCCAGACGCCUACGGGAGGCAGCAGUAGGGAAUCUUCCGCAACGGGCGAAAGCCUGACGGAGCAACGCCGCGUGAGUGAUGAAGGUCUUCGGAUCGUAAAACUCUGUUAUUAGUGAAGAACAUAUGUGUAAGUAACUGUGCACAUCUUGACGGUACCUAAUCAGAAAGCCCCGGCUAACUACGUG